rnacentral:rRNA from 1 species
AUUGAACGCUGGCGGCAGGCCUAACACAUGCAAGUCGAGCGAGCGGCGGAAGGGUGAGUAAUGUAUGGGGACUGCCCGAUAGAGGGGGAUAACUACUGGACACGGUGGCUAAUAACGCAUACAAUCGGAUAACCAAUAUGGGAUUAGCGGGGAGGUGGGGUAAAGGCUCACCUAGGCGACGAUCUCUAGCUGGUCUGGGAGGAUGAUCAGCACCAAUGGGAUUGGGACACGCCCCAGACCCCGAGGGAGGCGGCAGUGGGGAAAAUUGACAAAUGGGCGCAACCCUGAUGCGGCCUGGCGGCGGGGAUAAAGAGGGCCUUAGGGUUGUAAAGUACUUUCAGCGGGGAGGCGUACCCGCAGAAGAAGCACCGGCUAACUCCGUGCCAGCAGCCGCGGUAAUUC